CUUACACAUGCAAGUCGAACGGCAGCACGGGUGCUUGCACCUGGUGGCGAGUGGCGAACGGGUGAGUAAUACAUCGGAACAUGUCCUGUAGUGGGGGAUAGCCCGGCGAAAGCCGGAUUAAUACCGCAUACGAUCUACGGAUGAAAGCGGGGGACCUUCGGGCCUCGCGCUAUAGGGUUGGCCGAUGGCUGAUUAGCUAGUUGGUGGGGUAAAGGCCUACCAAGGCGACGAUCAGUAGCUGGUCUGAGAGGACGACCAGCCACACUGGGACUGAGACACGGCCCAGACUCCUACGGGAGGCAGCAGUGGGGAAUUUUGGACAAUGGGCGAAAGCCUGAUCCAGCAAUGCCGCGUGUGUGAAGAAGGCCUUCGGGUUGUAAAGCACUUUUGUCCGGAAAGAAAUCCUUGGUUCUAAUAUAGCCGGGGGAUGACGGUACCGGAAGAAUAAGCACCGGCUAACUACGUGCCAGCAGCCGCGGUAAUACGUAGGGUGCGAGCGUUAAUCGGAAUUACUGGGCGUAAAGCGUGCGCAGGCGGUUUGCUAAGACCGAUGUGAAAUCCCCGGGCUCAACCUGGGAGCUGCAUUGGUGACUGGCAGGCUAGAGUAUGGCAGAGGGGGGUAGAAUUCCACGUGUAGCAGUGAAAUGCGUAGAGAUGUGGAGGAAUACCGAUGGCGAAGGCAGCCCCCUGGGCCAAUACUGACGCUCAUGCACGAAAGCGUGGGGAGCAAACAGGAUUAGAUAUCCUGGUAGUCCACGCCCUAAACGAUGUCAACUAGUUGUUGGGGAUUCAUUUCCUUAGUAACGUA
rnacentral:rRNA from 1 species